UUGAACGCAAAUGGCGCUCUUGGGUUCUCCCAGGAGCAUGUCUGUCUGAGUGUCGGU
rnacentral:rRNA from 1 species